rnacentral:rRNA from 1 species
UACGGGGGGGGCAAGCGUUGUUCGGAAUUACUGGGCGUAAAGGGUUCGUAGGUGGCCAAUUAAGUCAGACGUGAAAUCCCUCAGCUUAACUGGGGAACUGCGUCUGAUACUGAUUGGCUUGAGUGCAGGAGAGGAACGCGGAAUUCCAGGUGUAGCGGUGAAAUGCGCAGAUAUCAGGAAGAACACCCGUGGCGAAGGCGGCUCUCUGGGACGUGACUGACGCUGAGACGCGAAAGCGUGGGGAGCAAACAGG